rnacentral:rRNA from 1 species
CAGUCGCCACGGUAAUACGUAGGGUGCGAGCGUUAAUCGGAAUUACUGGGCGUAAAGCGUGCGCAGGCGGUUCGUUAAGUCUGUUGUGAAAGCCCCGGGCUCAACCUGGGAAUGGCAAUGGAUACUGGCGAGCUAGAGUGUGUCAGAGGAUGGUGGAAUUCCCGGUGUAGCGGUGAAAUGCGUAGAGAUCGGGAGGAACAUCUGUGGCGAAGGCGGCCAUCUGGGACAACACUGACGCUGAGGCACGAAAGCGUGGGGAGCAAACAGGAUUAGAUACCCCCGUAGUCCCUGUCUCUUAUAC